rnacentral:lncRNA from 1 species
UCAAAAAGGGAAAAACCCUAAAGGGUUAAAUUCAGGAUAAACCCAAAAUUGCAAAAACCCUAAAGAGUUAAACCCAAAAAUGCAAAAAUCCUAAAGGAUAAACCCAAAAUAGCAAAAACCCUAAAGGGUUAAAUUCAGGAUAAACCCAAAAUGGCAAAAAUCAGAAAGGGUUAAAUUCAGGAUAAACACAAAAAGGCAUAAAUCCUAAAGGGUUAAACCCAGGAUAAAACCAAACCAGGAUAACCCCAAAAUUUUAUUUUAUUGUCAUUUUAUUUAAUUUAUUUAUUUAUUUAUUAUUUUUUUUUAUUUUAUUUUUAACCCUGAUUUUAUAUUUUGGGAAAUUUCUGCUGCUUUUUGUCCUAAUUUGGCUCCAGAUUUUUAUUUUUUUGGGGCAAUUUCUGCUUUUUUUGUCACAAUUUCUCCUUUUUAUUUCAGGAAUCCUUCUCAGAGCACUUGGGCUUCACUGGUGGGAUCGUGCAGGGGCUGGAUUUGUACCGAGCUUCUGGAAAAUUCGAGCUCCUGGAUCGGAUCCUGCCCAAACUCAGGGCCACCAACCACAAGGUGCUGCUCUUCUGCCAGAUGACCUCGCUGAUGACCAUCAUGGAGGAUUAUUUCGCUUACCGCGGCUUCAAAUACCUCAGGCUGGAUGGUCAGUGUCCCAUGGGGGGGAUGCACCCCUAAAAUCUCCAGUUUUCCUUCAAAAUUCCCGAUUUUCCCUCAAAAAUUCCAAGUUUUCCCUUAAAAAUCCUCAAUUUUUCCCCAAAAUUGACCUCCAAAAUCCCCAAUUUUUUCCCCCAAAUUUCCCCCAAAAUUCCCAGUUUUCCUUCAAAAUCCCCAAUUUUCCCUCAAAAUCCUCAAUUUUCCCUCAAAAAUCCCCAGUUUUCUCAGUUGAUCCCCAAUUUUCCCUCAAAAUCCAAUGGGGAUCCCAUUCAAUCCAAUGGAGAUCUUAUUCCAUUCAAUGGGAAUCCCAUUCAAUCCAAUGGGGAUCCCAUUCAGUUAAAUGGGGAUCCCAUUCAAUCCAAUGGGGAUCCCAUUCAAUCCAAUGGGGAUCCCUUUAAGUCAAUGGGGAUCCCAUUCAAUCCAAUGGGAAUUCAACUCAAUGGGAAUCCCAUUCCAUCCAAUGGGGAUCCCAUUCAACUCAAUGGGAGUCCAAUCAAUUCAAUGGGAACCCCAUUCAAUCCAAUAGGAAUCCAUUCAAUCCAAUGGAGAUCCCAUUCAAUCCCA